CCUACGGGGGGCUGCAGUGGGGAAUAUUGGACAAUGGGCGAAAGCCUGAUCCAGCCAUGCCGCGUGAGUGACGAAGGCCUUAGGGUUGUAAAGCUCUUUUGGCGGGGAAGAUAAUGACGGUACCCGCAGAAUAAGCUCCGGCUAACUUCGUGCCAGCCGCCGCGGUAAUACGAAGGGAGCUAGCGUUGUUCGGAAUCACUGGGCGUAAAGCGCACGUAGGUGGAUCGUUAAGUCAGGGGUGAAAGCCCGAGGCUCAACCUCGGAAUUGCCUCUGAUACUGGCGGUCUAGAGUUCGAGAGAGGUGAGUGGAAUUCCUAGUGUAGAGGUGAAAUUCGUAGAUAUUAAGAAGAACACCGGUGGCGAAGGCGGCUCACUGGCUCGAUACUGACACUGAGGUGCGAAAGCGUGGGGAGCAAACAGGAUUAGAUACCCCUGUAGUC
rnacentral:rRNA from 1 species